GAUGAACGCUAGCGGCAGGCUUAACACAUGCAAGUCGAGGGGCAGCAUGAGUGUUAGCAAUAACACUUGAUGGCGACCGGCGCAAGGGUGCGUAACGCGUGAGCAACUUGCCCUUAUCAGGGGGAUAACCAAUGGAAACGUUGACUAAUACCCCAUAGUAUACUUUUAAGGCAUCUUUUGAGUAUUAAAGAAUUUCGGAUAAGGAUAGGCUCGCGUGACAUUAGCUAGAUGGCGGGGUAACGGCCCACCAUGGCGACGAUGUCUAGGGGUUCUGAGAGGAAGGUCCCCCACACUGGAACUGAGACACGGUCCAGACUCCUACGGGAGGCAGCAGUGAGGAAUAUUGGUCAAUGGUCUGACGACUGAACCAGCCAUGCCGCGUGAAGGUCACGGCCCUAUGGGUCUUAAACUUCUUUUUGUAAGGGAGCGAAAUAAGGCGCACGUGUGCGUCGAUGAGAGUACCUUACGAAUAAGCAUCGGCUAACUCCGUGCCAG
rnacentral:rRNA from 1 species